GCACCUUCCAGUACUAUGGGAGCUAGUCUUCAGAAGGAUGCUUCCAGAUAUAAAAACCAGGAGCAAGAAGAGGGAGUUGCAGUCCCUUGCUGUGCUGUGUGAAGAAAGUUGGAAGUCCAUGUUCACUCUGAGCAGCUUAGGGUGGCCAUUUGGACAAAAGGUUAGGGGCCUAAGGACCUGUGGUCAAUGAUGCCCUUGUGGUCCACUAUCUGUGCUUCCUUGGAUGAUUUGCUUAAUGCUCCUGAGCUCCCGGGUUUUUGUAUAGUAAGAAUGAGUUAAUAUGAGAAAGCAGAAAAUGGCUCCACUGUAAGCUUGCCAAAUUGAGGAUCAAAGUGAUCAGUGCCCACUAAUAGGAAUGCAGCUAUGAAACUGCUGCUGAGUUCUUUGUCUUGAUACCAUCUGUUACUGAAGCCUUUCUGACUCCAUCAGGGUGGAGGGUGGGGCAUGCUUUCCCUCCCUUUUGCUACUGAAAAUGAGAUACUUUACACAAGUCCUUGAUUGCUACCCACUGCAUUUCCUAUUCUGCUUGUGCAGGUAAUACAAUUUUAGCAGAAGCAAAGUCAUAAAUCCUGACUCCAAAUCAAGUAUUCUUUCAUCUGUGAUGACGCGCAUAGGUACAUUACAUAAGACAUAGGACAAGUUGUCUUCCAUAUGGCUUAGAGCUUUAUUUCCAUGUACAUCUCAUAUUUUUGUAUCAUAAAACUUACCAGCAACUCAAGAAACAAAGCAGUUAAUAUACAUGUGGUGCUUUUAAAUUUGUACAUAAAAUGUGAACUGAAAAGAGAGAGAGAGGGAGAGGGAGAGAGAGAGAGAGAGAGAGAGAGAGAGAGAGAGAGA